GGGGGGGGGGUCCCGGCGGGCGGCGGUGGGGUUUCCAGGCGCUGUCCCUGGUGCUGCUGCUGGGGCAGGGCGCGCUGCUGGACCUCUACCUGAUCGCCGUCACCGACCUCUACUGGUGCAGCUGGAUCGCCACCGACCUGGUGCUGGCCGCCGGCUGGGGCAUCUUCUUCUGCCGCAACAGCCGGGCCCGACGCCGGGAGAGGCACCCCCACCCUCCUCCCCACCCCCCACCCUCGCUUCCCACCGGCCCGCCGCCUCCCCACCCGUUGCUGCUACACGGCCCCCCCGGUGGCCGCGGGGCCGGUGGCCGCGGGGCCGGCGCUUCCCCCCGCGGCGGCGACUUCGCCUACGCGCACCUGGCUUGGCUCAUCUACUCCAUCGCCUUCACGCCCAAAGCGGCGCUGAUCCUGGGCACCUCCAUCCUGGAGCUGAUCGAGCUGCGCCUGCCGCUGGGCACCACCGGCUUCCGCAUCACCCUGGCCCUCUCCGCCCCGCUGCUCUACUGCCUGCUGCGGGCCAUCGGAGCCGAGGGCACCGGGCAGCUGCUCCUGCCGCCGCAGCCGCCGCCGCAGCACCGAGCCGCCGCCGCUUUCCUCGCCACCUGCCUCGACCUGCUCGACAGCUUCUCCUUGCUGGAGCUGGUGCUGCAACCCGGCCGGCCGGCUCCUCUGCCCGCCCCGCUUCGCUACCUCCUCAUCGCCGUCUAUUUCCUCUGCCUGGCCUCGCCGGUGCUGUGGCUUUACGAGCUCAGCGCCGCCCGCCCCCCCGGGGCCGCCCGCCUCGCCCUCCACCUCCUGCUGCCCGCCGGGCUGCUGGACGCCCCGCUCCUGGCCCUCCGCUGCCUCCUUCUCCUGCGCUACCAGCAGCCGCUCUCCCUCUUCAUGCUGAAGAACCUUUUCUUCCUGACCUGCCGCGGCCUGGAGGCGCUGGAGACCUGCUGCCUCCUCCGUCCCGCCACCGCCCCGCCGCCCGCCAAGUACGGCCCCUCCGCCGCCGCCCCCGCCGCCCCGCUGGCCCACGGGCUGUCCGACGCCGACGUGGGGCCCCACGGGUACGUGAACGCCUUGGCGGUCACCGCCCAGGGCUGAGCUCCCUCACACCCACCCCCCCNNNNNNNNNNNNNNNNNNNNNNNNNNN
rnacentral:lncRNA from 1 species